rnacentral:rRNA from 2 species
UGGGGAAUAUUGCACAAUGGGGGAAACCCUGAUGCAGCAACGCCGCGUGAAUGAUGAAGGCUUUCGGGUCGUAAAGUUCUUUGAUUGGGGACGAUAAUGACGGUACCCAAAAAACAAGCCACGGCUAACUACGUGCCAGCAGCCGCGGUAAUACGUAGGUGGCGAGCGUUGUCCGGAUUUACUGGGCGUAAAGGAUGCGUAGGUGGAAAUUUAAGUGGGAUGUGAAAUCCCCGGGCUCAACCCGGGAACUGCAUUCCAAACUGGGUUUCUAGAGUGCAGGAGAGGAAAGCGGAAUUCCUAGUGUAGCGGUGAAAUGCGUAGAUAUUAGGAAGAACACCAGUGGCGAAGGCGGCUUUCUGGACUGUAACUGACACUGAGGCAUGAAAGCGUGGGGAGCAAACA